GAUGAACGCUGGCGGCGUGCCUAAUACAUGCAAGUCGAGCGAACAGACGAGGAGCUUGCUCCUCUGACGUUAGCGGCGGACGGGUGAGUAACACGUGGAUAACCUACCUAUAAGACUUGGAUAAAUUCGGGAAACCGGAGCUAAUACCGGAUAAUAUAUUGAACCGCAUGGUUCAAUAGUGAAAGACGGUUUUGCUGUCACGUAUAGAUGGAUCCGCGCCGCAUUAGCUAGUUGGUAAGGUAACGGCUUACGAAGGCAGCGAUGCGUAGCCGACCUGAGAGGGUGAUCGCCCACACGGGAACUGAGACACGGUCCAGGCUCCUGCGGGAGGGAGCAGUAGGGAAUCUUCCGCAAUGGGCGAAAGCCUGGCGGAGCAAGGCCGCGUGAGUGAUGACGGUCCUCGGAUCGUAAAGCUCUGUUAUUAGGGAAGAACAAAUGUGUAAGUAACUAUGCACGUCUUGACGGUACCUAAUCAGAAAGCCCCGGCUAACUACGUG
rnacentral:rRNA from 1 species